rnacentral:lncRNA from 1 species
CUGAUUUUCUGAAAGUUCAAAUAGAAAGACAUGGCUUAUGUCACAGCUGUCUUGCUUCUGACUAGCAUUUGAAGUUUGCCCCGUUUUUAUAGGAAGUUCAGGGCCCAGAUUAGUAUAUGUUUUGAAUGGGAUUUGAUUGGUAGAGGAUAAACACAUGACGGGGCUUAGAAAUGUUUGGGGGUUCUCCGCUGCAUCCAUGUGUAACAAGUGACAAUGUUUGGCAUCGUGAGUUAAGGCUGAUAUGGUACAAGGGCCACAACUACAAUUUCCAUUUGGCUUGAUUUGAUUCUGAUGUACUUGACUCAAAGAGCUUGGAGUUUUAUGUGUGACACUUAUCAAAUAUCUGUGUGUGUACGAAGAAGCACGGUGUAGUGGUUCACAUGUUGGGGGUCAUGAUCGUCAGGGUGUGUGUUCAAGGCAAAAUCAUCAUCAUCAUCAUUUAACGUCCGUUUUCCAUGCUAGCAUGAGUUGGAUGGUUCGACCGGGGUCUGGUAAGCCAUGGAGGUUGCACCAGGCUCUAGUCUGAUCUGGCAGUGUUUCUACAGCUGGAUGCCCUUCCUAACGCCAACAACUCCGUGAGUGUAGUGGGUGUUUUUCACGUGCCUCUGGCACAGGGCCCAGAGCUGGGGUCGAUUUGCUUGUCUAAAGGCAGUGCUCCAGCAUGGCCACAGUCAAAUGACUAAAACAAGUAAAAGAGAAAAGAGAAAUAGAUACUAUGUGUAGCAAAAUAGCUUUUCAAUAGGAAUAAGUUUCUACAGAUUUCACCUCCAACAUUUUUCCAGUCCUGAUCAAUAACGAGGUCAUGUCUCUGGAAAAAACCUUAAUGUCAAACAACAACGAAUAGAUCUUCCACUUGUGUAUACAUCUGCGGAUUACAUGAACAUAAUCCACAGAAUGAUUUUCCAGUCUAUUUCACUCAGAUAAAUUUUGCUCCAGAUUGUAUAAACUUGUGAUUCACAGGUUUUGACUUGUUUCAAACUGAAAGAUUCCCUACAUAUUUCAAAUUGAUAUUGUCUUUUGUCUAUUGUGUUUUCACUUUAACAAGUUCAUAACAAGUAUUUCCCAAAUUUUCUUUGUGAGAUAAACAGUUCUCAUGUUUCACAGUUGAAAAUUAGAUCCCCUCCAGCAUGUAUCUGUUUGUGCCUUGUUAAAUUACUAUUAUACGCAAAAGAUUUGCCAAGAAAGAGUGAGAGAAAGUUGUGGUGAAAGAGUACAGCAGGGUUCACCACCACCCCCUGCCGGAGCCUCAUGGAGCUUUUAGGUAUUUUUGCUCAAUAAACACUCACAAUGCCCGGUCUGGGAAUCGAAACAGCGAUCCUACGACCGCGAGUCCGCUGCCCUAACCACUGGUUCAUUGCGCCUCCACGAUUUUCCCACAUAAUUCAGAGUUAAAAUGUCAGAACAAAAAUGGGUCUCACAACAGAUUUGUGAGAGAAACAGUCCUCAUGUUUCACAGUUGAAAAUUAGAUCCCCUCCAGCAUGUAUCUGUUUGUGCCUUGUUAAAUUACUAUUAUAUGCAAAAGAUUUACCACAUACUUGACAGUAGAAAGGUUUUCCUCCAGUGUGUAUAAUUUUGUGUGCUGUUAUAUAACUACUGGCCAAAAAGGACUUGCCGCAAAUAUCACAGUGAUAAGGUUUCACCCCAGUAUGACUUCGUAUAUGGACGACAAGUUUUGAAUUAUUAAUAAAGGUUUU